rnacentral:rRNA from 1 species
GGACCAAGGAGUCUAGCAUGUGCGCAAGUCAUUGGGACUUUUUUGAAACCUAAAGGCGUAAUGAAAGUAAAUAUUUUUUGUAUUAUAUAAUUAAACAAUAUUUUUGGGGAAUUUAUUCCUUUUUUAAUACUUGUUUUUUAUGUAUUUACUAAUAAAGGGAAGAUGGGUGACGGAAUAUAUGUUGCCUCGCAUUCCCGGGGCGUCGCAUACUUAUUGUAAGUUGCGGCGCACCAAGAGCGUACACGCUGGGACCC